GGAUCUUAGCUUCUCGGAAGUGACAUCAGCCGUUGUCCGCCAGAAUCUGAGGCCUGAGAUGCCUCGUUGUUGCCCAAGCUCUCUUGCAAAUGUAAUGAAGCGAUGUUGGGAUGCAAACCCUGACAAGCGGCCGGAGAUGGAUGAGGUGGUGGCCAUGUUGGAGGCUAUUGACACAUCUAAAGGUGGAGGUAUGAUCCCUGGGGAUCAGCCUCAGGGCUGUUUCUGUUUCCGCAGGUACCGAGGACCGUGAAAGUUUUGCUCCUUUUCUGGCAAUAGAGAGUGGGGAAUGCGAUGGUUCUGGAAAUUCAAUUUGUAUUUUACUGAAUUGAAUAGGUUGAAAAUUAAGAAGAGUCAUAGUGAAUACAAAACCGUGGAGGCUGUUGUCUAAAGAGGAGCUCAGCAGUAUCUGUUACUUUGUUGGACUAUAGAUUUGUAAAGAGUUUCUUUCUUUUUGCCAAGUUCACCUAUUUCAUAAAAACCAUGAAAUUUACAAGCUUAAUUGCUUAAUAUCAAUUCAUGAGACGAGCUUGGAUAGAUGAA